AAGAGAUUAGUUAAAAUAAUAACAUUAAUUUGUCAAAUUAAAAUUAUUCAAAUUUAAGUAUAUCACUUA
rnacentral:tRNA from 1 species